CAAUGAAGUGGCAAGCUGUUUCUGGUUCAGUAUCCCAGGGACAGUUUGAGUGGGCUCUGGUGGUAAGAUGUCAGAAAAGGCAGUUUCCCAUUUCUCAGAUCGCUGCUCCCUUUUACAGUUUUUGUCCAGUGGCUUACCAGUAUGGCCAAGCCAAACUUACAAAGGAAGUUGAUUACAUUCUUUGACUAUAACAACCAUUCCCCAAAGGAAGGAGAAUUUGCAGUUUGGAGGCAAGUGAUUUGGAGCAAGGAUAAUGGUUUUCAAGGAGUCUCCUCACAGGACUGAUGGGAAAAUGGGCUUAAUUCAUAGAUGGAAAUACAACACAGUGAGUUAAUGACUAAAA